rnacentral:rRNA from 1 species
AUGAAUCUUCUUUGUUUGAACUGUCGGGGCUGUGGGCGGCCUGAGACAGUUCAAAAGAUCAGUGGCUUGAUAAAGCUACAUCGCCCAGCUUUGGUCUUUCUCUCGGAGACCAAGCUUAUUGACAAGAGAGCUCAGAAUCUGCGUUUUAAGUUUGGCUUUAGUAAUGCUUUUGGAGUUAAGUGUGAGGGUUUAAGUGGAGGUUUGGUGCUCUUUUGGAACUCUGACUCGGUUGUUUCUCUCAAGUCAUUCAACAAAAAUCACAUUGAUGUGAUGGUGGUUAAUGAGGACAUGGGGGAAAGACAAUGGCAUUUCACGGGCUUUUAUGGUGAACCAGCUAGAUCGAGGAGGAAACGGUGUUGGGAAUUGAUGAAAUAUCUACGACGGGAGUAUGAUAAUCCAUGGAUUUGUGCAGGUGAUUUUAACGAAUUUCUUACUACGAAUGCAUGA